CCUGUGUGGUUUACCACCCUGAACGCACCCCAUCUUGUCUGGUCUCGGAAGUUGAGCAGGGUCGGGCCUAGCUAGUACUUGGAUGGGAGGCCUGUUUGCCCGUUUCCCUCAGCU
ensembl:rRNA 5S_rRNA 5S ribosomal RNA